UGCAGUCGAGCGGAGUGAUGGUGCUUGCACUAUCACUUAGCGGCGGACGGGUGAGUAAUGCUUAGGAAUCUGCCUAUUAGUGGGGGACAACAUUUCGAAAGGAAUGCUAAUACCGCAUACGUCCUACGGGAGAAAGCAGGGGAUCUUCGGACCUUGCGCUAAUAGAUGAGCCUAAGUCGGAUUAGCUAGUUGGUGGGGUAAAGGCCUACCAAGGCGACGAUCUGUAGCGGGUCUGAGAGGAUGAUCCGCCACACUGGGACUGAGACACGGCCCAGACUCCUACGGGAGGCAGCAGUGGGGAAUAUUGGACAAUGGGCGCAAGCCUGAUCCAGCCAUGCCGCGUGUGUGAAGAAGGCCUUAUGGUUGUAAAGCACUUUAAGCGAGGAGGAGGCUACUGAAGUUAAUACCUUCAGAUAGUGGACGUUACUCGCAGAAUAAGCACCGGCUAACUCUGUGCCAGCAGCCGCGGUAAUACAGAGGGUGCAAGCGUUAAUCGGAUUUACUGGGCGUAAAGCGCGCGUAGGCGGCUAAUUAAGUCAAAUGUGAAAUCCCCGAGCUUAACUUGGGAAUUGCAUUCGAUACUGGUUAGCUAGAGUGUGGGAGAGGAUGGUAGAAUUCCAGGUGUAGCGGUGAAAUGCGUAGAGAUCUGGAGGAAUACCGAUGGCGAAGGCAGCCAUCUGGCCUAACACUGACGCUGAGGUGCGAAAGCAUGGGGAGCAAACAGGAUUAGAUACCCUGGUAGUCCAUGCCGUAAACGAUGUCUACUAGCCGUUGGGGCCUUUGAGGCUUUAGUGGCGCAGCUAACGCGAUAAGUAGACCGCCUGGGGAGUACGGUCGCAAGACUAAAACUCAAAUGAAUUGACGGGGGCCCGCACAAGCGGUGGAGCAUGUGGUUUAAUUCGAUGCAACGCGAAAAACCUUACCUGGCCUUGACAUAGUAAGAACUUUCCAAAGAUGGAUUGGUGCCUUCGGGAACUUACAUACAGGUGCUGCAUGGCUGUCGUC
rnacentral:rRNA from 1 species